GUCUCGCCGCCUGAACCUUUCGUCUCAACCUCUUUGAGCUGGCAGGUGAGCAAAGUUUCAGGUGUGCGAGCGG
rfam:Angiostrongylus costaricensis strain Costa Rica genome assembly, scaffold: ACOC_scaffold0000305